UUUAGUUUAUGUGUUCCACCUUAAGAAAGAAAGAGAUGUUCCACCUUAACAAAGAAAUGUCAUUGUUGAUAAAGUUUGUUCAAGUUAGUGAGGUCACUUCCUGAAAAGGUUAAGAAGAGAAGGCUAAGAGAGACACAUGGUUCAGAGGUUCUCAUCAUCCAAUGCCAUCUGCAUUUAAGAUAGACAAACAAAUGUCGUAAGUGUGAUUUAUUGUUUCAUUUCAUGCUACUUUUUAGGUAUUGUUAAUUAUUUCAAGGCAUUCUCAAUCUGUACAUUGAUUUUUUCUGUUUUCUUUGUAUUUUAGUUUUUACUCCCUGUUCACUGAAAGAGUCCAGUAAAACGACUAAACUUUACUUCGACGACUCAUCUGAUUCUUUGAAAGGAGUUAAGCUUGGUGUUAAGUCUGCGGAUUUGCAUGUCCUGACGAGAGCACUACAGUAAAAAGACAUUUCAUGGAAGCAAAAACAAGAUGGCAUCCAAGGGCUCAAAAUCAUCUGUGAGUGGAAAAUCUUCAGUGUCUUCGGCUAGCACAGUAGGGCGUGCACGAGCAAAGGCUGAAGCAGCAAAAAUAAGAGCUGAAUAUGCCACUAAACAAAAAGAAUUAAAGCUGGAAGCAGCCAAUAUGGAGUUUGAAGCAACAAAAAAAGAAGCAGAACUACAGUUGGAAAAAAUAAAACUGCAAGCAGAAAUGGAAGUAUUGAAUUUACAAUGUGAAGCUGAAGUGACUGCACGUGAGGCACAAGUUUUAGAAAUGGCUGAAGAACUACAAGUUGUUGAUGAAGCAUCUUCGACAGAGCAUCACGACAGAAUGAAACGCACAGGUGAAUAUGUCCGUUCACAAAAUACUCUUAAAGGAAGUGCUUCGACAAUACAUCUACCUCAUGCAUGUCAACCACAUAUGGACAAUGAGAAAUGCAGUUUCGUUGUUGAGAUCAAGAAGGACAAAUCUAUAAACUGUUCACAAGAAGGCGUUAAACGCGCUUUUGAAGAAAAAGAUGAAACUAAUCAACCUUCCAACACAAGAAUUGAGAUGAAAACCAAAAGAGAAGAUAUCAGAAAACCAGAAAGAAAUGAGGAUCGAAACUUUCAACCAUACUCUCCGAGGUGGUUAAAUGUGCAUGCUCAGCCUUUUCCUCCACCCCCAAGUAAGGAUCCUGCAGCUUUUCCAACACCUGCAACAGAACCCUUAGCACAGUACUUAGCGAGGAGAGAUCUCACCAACUCAGGACUGUACCAGUUUGAUGACAAACCAGAAAACUACAGAGGAUGGUAUGCAUCCUUUUGUAGUGUAACCAGCGACAUUCAGCUAAGUGCUGUACAACAACUGGACCUAAUGAUCAAAUGGCUUGGAAAAGAAUCUCGAGAAUAUGUGAAACGCAUCAGAGGAGUUUAUGCUAACAAUCCAGCCGCAGCACUAACAAAAGCAUGGGAACGACUGGAAGAGUGUUACGGGGCUCCAGAAGUUAUAGAGAGGUCACUCUUUGAGCGUCUUGAGACAUUUCCUUAUCUCAACCCGAGAGAUAACAUUAAGCUUCGUGAAUAUGGGGACUUGCUAACAGAAAUACUUGGCUUCAAGGAGGAUGGCUAUCUCAUUGGACUGUCUUAUUUAGAUACGUCUCGUGGUAUUUUGCCACUAGUGGGCAAGUUACCAUAUAACCUCCAAGAGAAAUGGCUUUCUGCUGGGUCAAGAUAUGAAGAAGACAACAACGGACAUUUCCCCCCUUCCUGGUACUUCUGCGAAUUUGUGUGCUAUGAAGCAAAGAAGCGAAAUGAUCCAAGCUUCAUAAACCAAAAAAAUGUCGCUGCCUUUUCAAAACAAGAGAGAACAACCUUCAGAAAAAACGACAGAACCUUCACAGUACAGAAGACAGACUUCUCUUUACCACAACCCAUAAAAACAACUGGUGUUGACCCAAAUGUAAUAUGCCCCUUACACAACAAACCACACUCACUUCAAAGUUGUAAAGCCUUCCGGAACGAACCAAUAGAAGAACGAAAAAUCUUUCUCAAGAAAAACGGCAUAUGUUUUAAAUGUUGUGCUUCAACUCUAUAUCUGGCCAAGGACUGUAGGACAUCUGUAAGGUGCCAGGUGUGCGACAGUACCUACCACGUUACGACCAUGCAUCCGGGAACACAACCACCAAAGGCUCUCCCACCACCUAAGUUGGACGGCGAGGAGGACGUAACCGUUAAUCCAGAUCCAACGGAGAUAAGUUCGAACUGCACUGAAGUCUGUGGCAAAGGACAGUUCAGUCGCUCAUGUGCAAAAAUAUGCCUUGCAAAAAUAUAUCCGCAAGAUGCGGUCCACAAGAUCGUAAAGGCAUAUGUAGUAAUAGACAACCAGAGCAACCGGUCAUUAGCAAGACCAGAGUUCUUUAGUUUGUUUGGAAUCGAAAGUGAGCCAUCUUCAUACCUCCUGAAGACCUGUUCAGGUUUGGAAGAAACAUCAGGAAGAAAAGCAGAAGGAUUUUUUAUUGAAUCCAUUGAUGGGAGAAUUGCUAUUCCUCUCCCACCACUCAUUGAAUGUAGCAACAUCCCAAAUAAUCGGACAGAGAUUCCAACUCCAAAUGACGUAAUCCAUCAACCACAUCUGCAACACCUUUCUAAACAUCUACCAGAGUUGGACCCAGAUGCAGAAAUUCUCCUUCUUCUGGGACGAGACGCAUUGAGGCUGCAUAAAGUUAGGCAGCAGGUGAAUGGACCACACAAUGCUCCAUUUGCUCAGCGUUUGGAUCUUGGCUGGGUAGUAAUUGGAGAAGUGUGUCUUGGAAAUAUUCACAAACCUGUCGUUAACACUUUCAAAACCACUGUUUUGGAAAACGGUCGCCACUCCAUCUUUCAACCAUGUACAAGUUACAUGCAAGUAAAAGAGGCAUUACCCAAGCUCCACCAUGUCACCAAGGUAACAGAAGGAUCGCUUGGUAAAACAGUGUUCAACAGAACAGAUCAGGACAACAAACCUGCUCCAUCGAUCGAAGAUGCAAAGUUUAUGGAAAAAAUGGAUGCUGAGGUUCACAAGAACUGCGACAACACCUGGGUGGCACCACUGCCAUUUAAAGAAUCACGCACACGCCUUCCUAACAACAAAGAGCAGGCUGUUAACAGAGUCCUUUCUCUAAAGAAAUUAUUCAAACGAAACCCGAAGAUGCAGGAACAAUAUUUCGCGUUUAUGGACAAACUUCUUCAGAAUGGACAUGCCGAAGUGGCACCGCCUCUUGAGGACAAUGAAGAAUGCUGGUUCCUUCCCACAUUUGGAGUAUAUCAUUCUAAGAAACCAAACCAGAUUAGAGUGGUAUUCGAUUCAAGUUCCCAAUACCAAGGAAUAUGCCUCAAUGAUGUUCUACUAACUGGGCCAGAUUUAAAUAACACCUUGAUUGGAGUCUUGCUUCGCUUUCGCAAGGAAAAAGUAGCUGUGUUGGCAGACAUCCAGCAGAUGUUCUACUGUUUUGAAGUUAGAGAGAGUCAUCGCAACUUCCUCAGAUUCCUGUGGUACAAAGAAAAUGACAUCAACAAAGAGAUUGUUGAGUACCGGAUGAAAGUCCACGUGUUUGGCAAUAGUCCCUCGCCCGCUGUUGCCACCUACGGGCUGAGAAGAGCCAUUCAAGAAGGCGCAUCAAAGUAUGGAAAUGAUACUGUUCAGUUUGUUGAAAGACAUUUCUACGUUGAUGAUGGCCUUGUCUCUGUACCAACUGAAGACCAAGCAAUAGACUUGCUGAAAAGGACACAGGCCUCUCUGGCAGAAUCAAACAUUCGCCUCCACAAGUUCAUCUCCAACAGUCAAACUGUUCUAGAGGCCUUUUGCCAGGAAGACUGUGCCGUGGCAACCAAAGACUUAGACCUUACCGGAGAAACGGAUACUAUCCAGCGCAGUUUGGGCCUCCUAUGGGAGAUAUCUACAGACACCUUCACGUUUUCCGUGUCUAUGGAGUCAAAACCAUUCACUCGACGUGGUGUAUUGUCCACCGUGAACAGCAUUUUUGACCCCAUUGGACUAUUGGCACCCGUGACAGUUUGUGGAAGAGCCCUUCUCAGAGAACUCACUGCUGACCUCUCAGACUGGGACACUCCCCUCGCAGACGAAAAACAUGGCAAGUGGGACUUAUGGUGUAAAUCGCUUCAAGAUCUCAAACAGUUGCACAUACCGAGGACUUAUAUGGACAUAUCUUUAAGUAACAGCAAACAUGUUGAGCUUGCCGUCUUCUCUGAUGCUUCAACGAAAGCCAUUGGAGCUGUUGCCUAUUUAAAGGCGGUCUCAACUGAUGAUCACUCAGAGACUGGACUUAUUAUGGCCAAAGGAAGAUUAGCACCCAAAUCAGAACCUACGAUUCCACGCUUGGAACUUUGUGCAGCCGUUUUAGCUACUGAGCUGGCGGACCUCAUCCGAGACGAGAUGGAUGUAAAGCUUGACAAUGUGAACUUCUACAGUGACAGCAAAGUAGUACUUGGAUAUAUUCAUAACGAAACCAAAAGAUUCUACGUCUACGUCCAUAACAGGAUCCAGCGCAUUCGACAUUCAUCCAAACCACAGCAAUGGCACUACGUACCUUCCGAAGAAAAUCCAGCAGACCACAUUUCAAGAUUUUUACCCCCUUCCCAACUAACGCAAACAAACUGGUUCUGUGGACCAGCAUUUUUGCAAAAGACUGUGGACGAAGAAAUCCAUACAUCAGAAGGAUUUGAACUGAUACAACCAGAAAGCGACACUGAAAUCAGGCCAGAAGUCAAAACCUAUAGUACACACUUGAAGACGAACUAUCUGAAUCCAGAUCGCUUUCAGCGUUUUUCCAGCCUCCAGCCACUUCUUCGAGCUGUCGUCCGGCUGAGGCACAUAGCAACAUCCUUUAAGCACACAAGUGGAGGUGGUCCAUGCAAAGGGUGGCACUGGUGUGAGAAGCCACGUUCACCUGAGGAAAUGGACAAAGCCAUGAAUGUUAUCCUUCAGAGCGAGCAAGGUUCUGCCUUCCCAAAAGAACUUUCAGCUCUUCAUGCUCAAAAGCCUAUUUCAAAAGACAGCUGCCUUCUAAACUUUUGUCCAGUGAUUCGGAAUAAUUUGAUCUGUGUUGGUGGUCGUCUGGAUAAUUCGGACUUAGAAACUCAUGAACGACAUCCCGUGAUCCUGCCAAAGAAUGGCCACAUAGCCCUUCUGCUAACACGACACUACCAUGUGCAAGUGAAACAUCAAGGACGACACUUUACAGAAGGAGCCAUUCGAGCAGCAGGGUACUGGAUCUUGAGUGGCAAGAGGCUCAUCUGCACAGUUAUUCAUAACUGUGUAACAUGUAGGAAGCUUCGAGGCAAAGUGGAAGAACAGCGCAUGGCAGACUUGCCUGUCGAACGCCUCCAAGUCUGUCCCCCAUUUACUUAUGUGGGACUGGACGUCUUUGGUCCAUGGAUGGUUGCUUCAAGAAGGACACGUGGGGGUCAUGCUGAGAACAAAAGAUGGGCGAUUAUGUUCAGCUGCUUGAGUUCUCGAGCAGUACACAUUGAGCUCAUCGAGUCUAUGGAUUCCUCAAGUUGUAUAAAUGCACUCAGGCGUUUCUUCGCCAUGAGGGGACCAGCCAAGCAGUUGAUGUCAGACUGUGGCACCAACUUCAUUGGUGCGAGCAAAGAGCUUGGGAUGGACAAAAACUCAUUAGACUCAAAGGUUCAGAAAUACCUCGACGGAUGUGGAUGUGUUUGGAAGUUUAAUCCCCCUCAUGCUUCGCACAUGGGCGGCAGUUGGGAAAGGAUGAUUGGAGUUUCUCGGAGGAUCUUGGACUCCCUGUUGCUCCAAUCAAAAGUCCGGCUCACCCAUGAGGUACUCUCUACACUAAUGGCAGAAGUUGUUGCAAUUAUGAAUGCACGGCCUCUGAUACCAGUUUCUUCUGACCCGGACAACCCUCAAGUGCUUUCGCCAUCCAUACUUCUCACCCAAAAGUCAGGUGUUUCACCGCCUCUUGCCGACUUCUCAGAAAAGGACAUGUUCACUAAGCAGUGGAGGCAAGUACAAGCCCUGGCAAAUCAAUUCUGGACGCGAUGGCGCAAGGAAUACCUGCCUUGCCUGCAAGGCAGACAAAAGUGGACAACCCUCCGAAAGGACUUAAAGGUUGGAGACGUGGUUCUCCUCAAAGACAAAGCAGCUGAACGCAACCAUUGGCCUAUGGCCAGAAUAAAGAACACAUUUCCUGGUUCAGAUGGCCACAUCAGACAAGUUGAGGUUAAUACCAUUGAUCAAGGUCGUGUGAAGACAUUUUCUAGACCCAUUACUGAAGUUGUGUUACUUAUUCCCAAUGAUGUUUAGAUCCACUCAUUCCUUUGUGAUUUUACAUUGGUAGUGACCUUUAACAAGGUCAGGCGAGGAGUGUUAUGUUUAGUUUAUGUGUUCCACCUUAAGAAAGAAAGAGAUGUUCCACCUUAACAAAGAAAUGUCAUUGUUGAUAAAGUUUGUUCAAGUUAGUGAGGUCACUUCCUGAAAAGGUUAAGAAGAGAAGGCUAAGAGAGACACAUGGUUCAGAGGUUCUCAUCAUCCAAUGCCAUCUGCAUUUAAGAUAGACAAACAAAUGUCUUUUUACUCCCUGUUCACUGAAAGAGUCCAGUAAAACGACUAAACUUUA